AUUGAACGCUGGCGGCAGGCCUAACACAUGCAAGUCGAACGAGUGGCGGACGGGUGAGUAAUGUAUGGGAAACUGCCUGAUGGAGGGGGAUAACUACUGGAAACGGUAGCUAAUACCGCAUACCAUCGGAUGUGCCCAGAUGGGAGUAGCUAGUUGGUGGGGUAAAGGCUGACCUAGGCGACGAUCCCUAGCUGGUCUGGGAGGAUGACCAGCCACAAUGGAACUGAGACACGGUCCAGACUCCACAGGUAGGCAGCAGUGGGGAAUAUUGCACAAUGGGCGCAAGCCUGAUGCAGCCAUGCAGCGUGUAUGAAGAAGGCCUUCGGGUUGUAAAUUACUUUCAGCGGGGAGGCGUUACCCGCAGAAGAAGCACCGGCUAACUCCGUGCCAGCAGCAGCGGUAAUUC
rnacentral:rRNA from 1 species